CUACGGGGCGCACCAGUGGGGAAUAUUGCACAAUGGGCGCAAGCCUGAUGCAGCCAUGCCGCGUGUAUGAAGAAGGCCUUCGGGUUGUAAAGUACUUUCAGCGGGGAGGAAGGGAGUAAAGUUAAUACCUUUGCUCAUUGACGUUACCCGCAGAAGAAGCACCGGCUAACUCCGUGCCAGCAGCCGCGGUAAUACGGAGGGUGCAAGCGUUGAUCGGAAUUACUGGGCGUAAAGCGCACGCAGGCGGUUUGUUAAGUCAGAUGUGAAAUCCCCGGGCUCAACCUGGGAACUGCAUCUGAUACUGGCAAGCUUGAGUCUCGUAGAGGGGGGUAGAAUUCCAGGUGUAGCGGUGAAAUGCGUAGAGAUCUGGAGGAAUACCGGUGGCGAAGGCGGCCCCCUGGACGAAGACUGACGCUCAGGUGCGAAAGCGUGGGGAGCAAACAGGAUUAGAUACCCUUGUAGUC
rnacentral:rRNA from 1 species